UUUUUUUUUGCCGUACAAGAAACCUAAUGGAACCGCAAACAUUUUCACUUUUGUAUUGUAUUGAGAGAAAAACACUUCAUUGACUC
ensembl:ncRNA C44B7.18 ncRNA